UUAUAGGGCCGAACUCCUUAUAGGGCUGAGCUCCUUAUAGGGUCGGUUUCCCUAUGGGGUCAGGCUCCUUAUAGGGUCAGAGCGCUUAUAGGGUCAGGCCAAUUAAUGGGGUUUUUCCGCCCUAUAGUGGCUGCAGUCGGGGAUGUCCUUAUAGGGCUGGGUUCCUUAUGGGGUCACAGUCCUUAUAGGGUCGGUCUCCUUAUAGGCUGAGGCUCCUUAUAGGGUCAGAGCGCUUAUAGGGUCAGGCCAAUUAAUGGGGUUUUUCCACCCUAUAGUGGCUGCAGUCGGGGAUGUCCUUAUAGGGCCGAACUCCUUAUAGGGCUGAGCUCCUUAUAGGGUCGGUCUCCCUAUGGGGUCAGGCUCCUUAUAGGGUCAGAGCGCUUAUAGGGUCAGGCCAAUUAAUGGGGUUUUUCUGCCCUUUAGCAGCUGCAGUCGGGGAUGUCCUUAUAGGGCCGGGCUGUUAAUAGGGUCAGGCUGCUUAUAGGGCCAAACUCCUUAUAGGGUCGGUCUCCCUAUAGGCUGAGGCUCCUUAUAGGGUCAGAGCGCUUAUAGGGUCAGCCCAUUAAUGGGGUUUUUCCGCCCUAUAGUGGCUGCAGUCGGGGAUGUCCUUAUAGGGCCGGACUCCUUAUAGGGCUGAGCUCCUUAUAGGGUCGGUCUCCCUAUGGGGUCAGGCUCCUUAUAGGGUC
rnacentral:lncRNA from 1 species